GAUGAACGCUGGCGGCGUGCCUAAUACAUGCAAGUCGAGCGAACAGACGAGGAGCUUGCUCCUCUGACGUUAGCGGCGGACGGGUGAGUAACACGUGGAUAACCUACCUAUAAGACUGGGAUAACUUCGGGAAACCGGAGCUAAUACCGGAUAAUAUAUUGAACCGCAUGGUUCAAUAGUGAAAGACGGUUUUGCUGUCACUUAUAGAUGGAUCCGCGCCGCAUUAGCUAGUUGGUAAGGUAACGGCUUACCAAGGCAACGAUGCGUAGCCGACCUGAGAGGGUGAACGGACACACUGGAACUGAGACACGGUACAGACUCCUACGGGAGGCAGCAGUAGGGAAUCUUACGCAAUGGGCGAAAGCCUGACGGAGCAACGCCGCGUGAGUGAUGAAGGUCUUCGGAUCGUAAAACUAUGUUAUUAGGGAAGAACAAAUGUGUAAGUAACUAUGCACGUCUUGACGGUACCUAAUCAGAAAGCCACGGCUAACUACGUG
rnacentral:rRNA from 1 species